AGUCGGGUCCUGUACAAUUGAGGAUCAUGAACUCCGCCAGGUCUGGAAGGAAGCAACGGUAAUGACCCCCUCGAUGUGUUGCAGGGUCCCGGCUAUC
rnacentral:SRP_RNA from 1 species